AAUCACAUUAAUGAUGCCUCUGCUCAGUUCUAAUAACUCACUACAGAGAGAUGGUGAACCAGCAGACGACCCCAUUCAACUCACAUUCAUUUGAUUAUUUAGACCUGUCCUUUUGAAGUGCCACAACUCUGCAGCUACUUUACCUGCUGCCUGCAGCCAUUUUGAGGUUUUAGCAGGAAAAGCACAGGUGUUUGUCAGCCAUCAUUUCCUACAGUGGCUGUGAAAAAGGACUACAGGUGCGUGUUUGUGAGCGAUAACUUGUAUUAAACGUUUACGAACUGGAACGUGUCUUGAGACCUUUGACCUUUUAAGCUCAUAACACACAGGAUCCUGCUGCGAUGUAAACUGACCAAAUGUUUCAGUCAGGAUGUUAAAGUCACUUCAUACCUGUUCUCCGUGUUUUCUAUUUUCAGUUCACUGAAUCCAUCUUGGACGUGUUUCAUGUUUGUUUCUUGACUGUUAACAGAUGUUUUUCUCUGAUGCAGAGGAGCUGGUGAACAUGUCGACAGCCCUGCUCAGGAAUGUGGAAGCUGCAGGUGACCAAACCCGUUGGGAGUCAACAGACAGAAGACUUCCUUCUCCACUGCCAGCAUACUGAGUUUCCCCCGGGGGCAUCAUUCAAGUUUCAUGGCUUCUCUUGCCUGUCAUCUUUUUCUCUCUUGCUGACCAGUCUCCUGGCCUGUCGGUCCAUCACUGAGGUCCUGGUUCUGGUCUUCUUCCAGCUGUAGUAGUACUUUACCAAGCUAGAGAUCAACUUGUCUGGCAGCUACACACAAACAAAGGCAAUGUACACAGGAUGGGUGUGUUCUUCUCCCAGGCUCUCACCAUUUGUUGAAUGCGGUGGAAGCUCUUGCCGUGGAAACUGAAGGCCUGUUCAAACAGCACUUUAUCCUCAACUGUCCACUCGUCCGGGAAGGGGGU